rnacentral:rRNA from 1 species
UACGUAGGGGGCAAGCGUUGUCCGGAUUUAUUGGGCGUAAAGAGCGUGUAGGCGGCCUGACAGGUCUGUUGUGAAAACUCGAGGCUCAACCUCGAGAUGUCGGCGGAAACCGUCUGGCUAGAGUCCGGAAGAGGAGAGUGGAAUUCCUGGUGUAGCGGUGAAAUGCGCAGAUAUCAGGAAGAACACCCGUGGCUAAGGCGGCUCUCUAGUACGGUACUGACGCUGAGACGCGAAAGCGUGGGGAGCGAACAGG